GACGAACGCUGGCGGCGUGCUUAACACAUGCAAGUCGAACGGAAAGGCCCCUUUGGGGGUACUCGAGUGGCGAACGGGUGAGUAACACGUGAGUAACCUGCCCUUGACUUCGGGAUAACUUCAGGAAUCUGGGGCUAAUACCGGAUAGGAAUCCUUGCUGCAUGGUGGGGGUUGGAAAGCUUCGGCGGUUUUGGAUGGACUCGCGGCUUAUCAGCUUGUUGGUGGGGUAGUGGCUUACCAAGGCUUUGACGGGUAGCCGGCCUGAGAGGGCGACCGGCCACAUUGGGACUGAGAUACGGCCCAGACUCCUACGGGAGGCAGCAGUGGGGAAUAUUGCACAAUGGGCGGAAGCCUGAUGCAGCAACGCCGCGUGCGGGAUGACGGCCUUCGGGUUGUAAACCGCUUUCAGCAGGGGCGAAGCUUGUGGUGACGGUACCUGCAGAAGAAGCACCGGCUAACUACGU
rnacentral:rRNA from 1 species